GCAGACAAAAUAUUCACCAUGGACAACAGCAUCACUCAAAAAUUUAAAUAGCUAAGGUUACUUACCUUCAUGCCACUGCAACACACAUCUAGAAGAUCUCUCUAAGGUAGUAUUUCAAAUAGUUGAGAUAUUACUAGAGAUAGUCCAAUUCUGUGAAGCCAUAUGAUACUCUUGCGCACUGAAUGUGUCAGCCGAGCCGUUCUCUUUCCUGACACUUUUCUCCUCAUUAGCAGUCAAGUUACCUUUAAAAAUAAAAAAAAAAAUGGCGCCGUCUGGACGCGACGCUGACGUCGAGUGUAGCAAAUCAGGUGAUUAAACGCGGCAUGGCGUUUUGUUCAAAACAUAUCAUCGACGAAAAUGUUUGACUGAAAUAACAGAUAGGAGCAUAGGUUCCUAAAACGCAAGCAGUUAUGCCACAAGACGGCUUAUAUUUUAGCUGUAUAUAAAGUUGUGUUUGUUUUUUUUUUUUUUUUUUUUUUUUGAGUAAUUCACUGAAUUGAACGGAUAAGGAACACCACGAUGACGAAACAUAAGGCACAUUAGGAUGGAUGUGUUUGCGCUAAUGGCCCGCUCUACACUUCGCCCCCACAAUGUGGAGAAAUGCAUAAAAGCUACACCAAUUCAACUUACAUAUUGAUGCCAACUGUGGGCCACAUGCUUUCCUUUUCAUCCACCCCCUUCCAUCAACUCUCUCUUCAAUGAUGAGUGUCAUCCAGUUACACUGGCAAUUAGGAAAGAAAAAAAAAAGGUCACAAGUGUGAUCAAAAGCUCCUGCAAUGGUAUUAAAAGACUCUGGGGAGCCAUCGGAGGAGAGACCGCACUUCCAUUUGACAUUCCUCACAAGGGGAUUACAUCUGAGUGUCACCGCCAGAGGAGAGGAAAACAUAAGAUGAUGGUAAGUCUAAAUGCUUUAAGCUGAGGGAAGGGAACAAUUGCCAGACAGAGACCAAAUAAAAAGCUCAUUUUCUCCUCACUGUGGUGUGUACACAUAACGUCAGCACGGACAAGGAAAUAAUGGGGCCGAUGCUCUGAAUUGCAUUUGAAGCAUCUCCAAUAUCGCUUUGGGGUAUCGCAAUCAUAGAGAGGAGAAGAAGAAAAAGAUUCUUUGACAGGCUGUAAAAGUAAGAGAAGCAACAAGAAAAGAGAAAACGAACAAGCAGACUUGAGCUGGCAUGAAAAUAAGGCAAAAUAAAUCGCGCUGAUAUAGCAUAUGACACCUUCAGCAGACACCUGCCAUGCAUGUUUAAAUAAUUUACCAAAUGUCAUCACGCAGGCUUUAAAACACAGAGUGCUCCUGUAAUAGGAACUCCCCCCUCUGGUGACAGGUGCCUCUGUGAACAAGACACGCGCAUCUUUCUGUGUAUAUCCAAGCAGGCAUCUUUAAUGAAUAAUAUAUUGCCACAUCACAGGCUGUAAGAGUGACUGAAGAGUUUCAAGUAUUAUCCGCAUUUCUAUAAUGCUUGAUUCGCAAUGGUCAAUCAUGACAUCCAGUGGUCAGACCUUUCAUUGGGAAGACUGUCAAAUAAAAGUACUCAUGAAGAGAUUUUAAAUAUUCAUUUAGUUUUUGAAGCAGCUUCAUGUGAAAGGUAAUGUUCGUAAGAUCUUUUUCUGCAGAUUAGAGCUGGACAAC
rnacentral:lncRNA from 1 species